rnacentral:rRNA from 1 species
UGGGUAAUCUGCCCUCGAUUCUGGGAUAGCCCGGGGAAACCCGGAUUAGUACCGGAUAGCCUCUCGAGCUUUCGAGCUCGUGAGAAAAGGUAGCUUCGGCCUCCGAUCGAGGAUGAGCCCGCGGCGGAUUAGCUUGUUGGUGGGGUAAUGGCCUACCAAGGCGACGAUCCGUAGCUGGUCUGAGAGGACGAUCAGCCACACUGGGACUGAGACACGGCCCAGACUCCGUACGGGAGCAG